rnacentral:rRNA from 1 species
AUUGAACGCUGGCGGCGUGCUUAACACAUGCAAGUCGAACGAAGUGGCGAACGGGUGAGUAAUACGUGAGUAACCUGCCCUCCUUUUUGGGAUAAGCCUUGGAAACGGGGUCUAAUACCGAAUAAAGGGGGAUGGGCUCGCGGCCUAUCAGCUUGUUGGUGGGGUGAUGGCCUACCAAGGCGGUGACGGGUAGCCGGCCUGAGAGGGUGACAGGCGACAUGGGGCAGGGGAGACGGCCCAGACUCCUGCGGGAGGCAGCAGUUGGGGAUAAUGGACAAUGGGCGAAAGCCUGAUGCAGCGAUGCAGCGUGGGGGAUGAAGGGUUUCAGGUUGUAAACCUCUUACGCUAUCGAACGGGUAGCUGGAGAAGAAGCGCCGGCUAACUACGUGCCAGCAGCCGCGGUAAUUC